rnacentral:rRNA from 1 species
AUUGAACGCUGGCGGCAGGCCUAACACAUGCAAGUCGAACGGUAACAGGAAGAAGCUUGCUUCUUUGCUGACGAGUGGCGGACGGGUGAGUAAUGUCUGGGAAACUGCCUGAUGGAGGGGGAUAACUACUGGAAACGGUAGCUAAUACCGCAUAACGUCGCAAGACCAAAGAGGGGGACCUUCGGGCCUCUUGCCAUCGGCUGUGCCCAGAUGGGAUUAGCUAGUAGGUGGGGUAACGGCUCACCUAGGCGACGAUCCAUAGCUGGUCUGAGAGGAUGACCAGCCACACUGGAACUGAGACACGGUCCAGACUCCUACGGGAGGCAGCAGUGGGGAAUAUUGCACAAUGGGCGCAAGCCUGAUGCAGCCAUGCCGCGUGUAUGAAGAAGGCCUUCGGGUUGUAAAGUACUUUCAGCGGGGAGGAAGGGAGUAAAGUUAAUACCUUUGCUCAUUGACGUUACCCGCAGAAGAAGCACCGGCUAACUCCGUG